CACGUAGGGGGCAAGCGUUGUCCGGAAUCAUUGGGCGUAAAGAGCUCGUAGGCGGCUCGGUAAGUCGGGUGUGAAAUCCCCAGGCUCAACCUGGGGACGCCACCCGAUACUGCUGUGGCUAGAGUCCAGUAGGGGAGUGUGGAAUUCCCGGUGUAGCGGUGAAAUGCGCAGAUAUCGGGAGGAACACCAGCGGCGAAGGCGGCACUCUGGGCUGGAACUGACGCUGAGGAGCGAAAGCGUGGGUAGCAAACAGG
rnacentral:rRNA from 1 species